UGACUUGAAUUAUUUUCUUGG
rnacentral:piRNA from 1 species